rnacentral:rRNA from 1 species
UGGGGAAUAUUGCGCAAUGGGGGAAACCCUGACGCAGCGACGCCGCGUGUGGGAUGAAGGUCUUCGGAUUGUAAACCACUGUCGCGAGGGACGAAGCUCUGACGGUACCUCGAAAGGAAGCACCGGCUAACUCUGUGCCAGCAGCCGCGGUAAUACAGAGGGUGCGAGCGUUGUCCGGAAUCACUGGGCGUAAAGGGCGCGUAGGCGGCCCGGUAAGUAGGGGGUGAAAUCUCAUGGCUCAACUGUGAGGCUGCCUUCUAGACUGCCAGGCUUGAGCACAGUAGAGGCGAGUGGAAUUCCCGGUGUAGCGGUGGAAUGCGUAGAGAUCGGGAAGAACAUCGGUGGCGAAGGCGGCUCGCUGGGCUGUUGCUGACGCUGAGGCGCGAAAGCGUGGGGAGCAAACAGGAUUAGAUACCCGAGUAGUCCCUGAGCGGGCUGGCAAGGCGCAU